UAAAAAAAAAUAAAAUGCUUCGCUGGGGCGCAGCUUGAUACGACCGCAGAGGUCGAACCAUGAACAGUUGGGGCAAGUAUGGACACAACAUUCAAGCUUGAUACAGCUCUGAAUUUGGAUUGUUAUUAAAUAUUUGACACAGCAUAGGUUUCUGACACAGAAAGAAUGUGGUCUAAGAACUUGAAUUUUUUUAAUUUACCUAUUAUGGUCCAAUGUCCAAAAUCAAAAUACAUGGUUAGAUUCAGCAUAUCAAAGAACCCCAUAUAUUCAAUUUUUGUUAAAAUCAAACAAAGUUUAAUUUUGGACCCCAACUUGGACAAACUUGAAAACUGGGCCCAUAAUCAAAAAUCUAAACACAUGUUUAGAUUCAGCAUAUCAAAGAACCCCAAGAAUUCAAUUUUUGUUAAAAUCAAACUAAGUUUAAUUUUUGGACCCUUUGGACCUCAAUGAAGACCAAUUU